UACGUAGGGUGCAAGCGUUAAUCGGAAUUACUGGGCGUAAAGCGUGCGCAGGCGGUUUCGUAAGUCAGAUGUGAAAUCCCCGGGCUUAACCUGGGAACUGCGUUUGAAACUACAAGGCUAGAGUGUGGCAGAGGGGGGUGGAAUUCCACGUGUAGCAGUGAAAUGCGUAGAGAUGUGGAGGAACACCGAUGGCGAAGGCAGCCCCCUGGGUUAACACUGACGCUCAGGCACGAAAGCGUGGGGAGCAAACAGG
rnacentral:rRNA from 1 species